CUUCUCUUACUUGCAUUUGCCAGUCUGAAUGUGAACUCAGUGGAACCAAUUUCCGAACAAGUAACACAGAAGUGGUCUCCUUUUCAGCAACAUAGAAGAGCUUGCAUUGGUGUGGUGUGAACUAUGCUAGUUCCAAUAAUGGUGAUGGUGCUUGACAAUGAAAUAGUCCCUUGCUCCGCCAAGGCUGGGUUCUAGGUCAAUCCUUAUACUAUGCUUGUCUGAUCAACGUUCUUUAAGACUGGGUUGAGCUCUUCCGACAAGGUAAAUUUUGUCUUUUG
rnacentral:lncRNA from 1 species